rnacentral:tRNA from 5 species
GCUAGUAUAGCUCAAUUGGUAGAGCAGCUGAUUUGUAAUCAGCAGGUUGUGGGUUCAAGUCCCUCUACUAGCUA